rnacentral:rRNA from 1 species
GGGAUAACCCAUCGAAAGAUGGGAUAAUACCAGAUGAUGAGGCACUCCAAAGGAAACGCCGAGGGAUGAGCCUAUGUCCCAUUAGCUAGUUGGCGGUGUAAAGACCACCAAGGCGACGAUGGGUAGGCGACGUGAGAGCGCGACCGCCGACACGAGGACUGAAUACGGCCUCGACUCCUACGGGGGGCAGCAGUCUAGAAGCUUCGUCAAUGAGCGAAAGCUGAACGAGCGACGCCGCGUGUGGGAUGAAGCCCCUUGGGGUGUAAACCACUUUCGACUGGAAGAAGGCCCGGAUGGCGAAUCCGGGUUUGACGGUACCAGUGGAAGAAGCACCGGCUACUCCGUGCCAGCAGCCGCGGUAAUACGGGGGGUGCGAGCGUUAUUCGGAUUCAUUGGGCUAAAGGGCGCGUAGGCGGCCUUGUAAGUCUGGUGUGUAAACGCUACCGCUCAACGGAGCAUUGCAUUGGAUACUGCAAGGCUUGAGGGCGAAAGAGGUGAGCAGAAUGAGUGGUGUAGGGUGGAAUGCGCAGAUAUCACUCAGAAUACCUGUGGCGAAGGCGGCUCACUGGUUCGCACUGACGCUGAGGCGCGAAAGCGUGGGGAGCAAACGGGAUUAGAUACCCCGGUAGUCCACCUGUAAACGGUGGAUACUAGAUGUGGCAGGUAUCGACCCCUGCCGUGUCGAAGUUAACAAUUAAGUAUCCCGCCUGGGAAGUACGGCCGCAAGGUUGAAACUCAAAUGAAUUGACGGGG